GGCCUUCUCAGGAGUCGUUGCGUAAUUUUCGAGUCGGGUUAGCGGUUUCUCAACUGUGUGUGCUUGAAAAGCUAUGGAGACCUCUAUUUAUAAUUGUGAGACCACAUUAUCCACAGGACUGAUAGACACAUCCAAAGACCGGAGCCCUACUUAACUGGAUUUUCACUGGAUCCCUCAAAUAAAACAGACAGAAGAAAUUUGAUCCAUUAUUCUGUUCCUCAAUGAACAAUGAAUAAAGCAUAGUGGUUCUUGCA